rnacentral:rRNA from 1 species
UACGUAGGGGGCUAGCGUUGUCCGGAUUUAUUGGGCGUAAAGAGCGUGUAGGCGGCCAUGUAGGUCCGGUGUGAAAACUCGAGGCUUAACCUCGAGAUGUCAUCGGAAACCAUUUGGCUAGAGUCCGGAAGAGGAGAGUGGAAUUCCUGGUGUAGCGGUGAAAUGCGUAGAUAUCAGGAAGAACACCAAUGGCGAAAGCAGCUCUCUGGGACGGUACUGACGCUGAGACGCGAAAGCGUGGGGAGCGAACAGG